rnacentral:lncRNA from 1 species
AGAAAGCACCACUACAGGUACCACAACUGCUGAGACCACAACAGACAGUACAACAAUAGAAAGCACCACCAAAGGUACCACAACAACAGAAACCACCCCAACCGCGACCACAACAGACACUACAACACCAGAAAGCACAACAACAGAGACCACAACAGACACAACAACACCAGAAAGUACCACUACAGGUACCACAACAGCUGAGACCAUAACAGACACUACAAAAUCAAAAAGUACCACCACAGGUACCACAACACCAGAAACCACCACAACUGAGAGCACAACAGACACUACAACAUCAGAAAGUACCACUACAGGUACCACAACAGUCGAGACUACAACAGAGAGCACAACAAUAGAAAGCACCACCAAAGGUACCACAACAACAGAAAGCAGCACAACCGAGGCCACAACAGACACCACAACACCAGAAAGCACCACAACAGGUACCACAACAAAAGAAAGCACCACAACCGAGACCACAACAGACACUACAACACCAGAAAGCACCACUACAGGUACUACAACAACAGAAAGCACAACAACAGAGACCACAACAGACACAACAACACCAGAAAGAACCACUACAGGUACCACAACACCCGAGACAACAACAGACAUUACAACGAUAGAAAGCAUCACUACAGGUUCUACAACAGACAAAACCACAAAAGACACUACGACAACAGAAAGCACAACCACAGGUACCACAACAACAAAAAGCACCACAACUGAGACCACAACAGACACUACAACACCAGAAAGCACCACUACUGGUGCCACAACUGUCGAGACUACAACAGAAACUAAAACAAUAGAAAGCACCACAACAGGUACCACAACAACAGAAAGCAGCACAACCGAGGCCACAACAGACACCACAACACCAGAAAGCACUACUACUGGUAUCACAACAACAGAAAGCACCACAACCGAGACCACAACAGACAAUACAACACCAGAAAGCACCACUACAGGUACCACAACAACAGAAAGCAGAACAGAGACAACAACAGAGACCACAACAGACACAACAACACCAGAAAGUACCACUACAGGUACCACAACAACAGAAAACGCCAAAACCGAGACCACAACAGACACUACAACACCAGAAAGCACCACUACAGGUACUACAACAACAGAAAGCACAAGAACAGAGACCACUACAGACACUACAACACCAGAAAGCACCACUACUGGUGCCACAACAGUAGAGACUACAACAGAAAGUACAACAAUAGAAAGCACCACCACAGGUACCACAACAACAGAAAGCAGCACAACCGAGACCACAACAGACACUACAACACCAGAAAGUACCACUACAGGUACCACAACACCGGAGACUACAACAGACACUACGACAACAGAAAGCACAACCACAGGUACCACAACAAUAGAAAGCACCACAACCGAGACCACAACAGACACUACAACACAAGAAAGCACCACUACAGGUACUACAACAACUGAAAGCACAACAACAGAGACCACAACAGACACAACAACACCAGACAGUACCACUACAGGUACCACAACAGCUGAGACCACAACAGACACUACUACAACAGAAAGCACCACCACAGGUGCCACAACAACAGAAAGCACCACUAAAGAUACCACAACACCCGAGACUACAACAGACACUACAACAAUAGAAAUCACCACCACAGCUGCCACAACAACAGAAAGCACCACAACCGAGACAACAACAGACACUACAACACCAGAAAGCACCACUACACGUCUUACAACAUUUGAGACUACAACAGAAACUAAAACAACAGAAAGCACACCAACCGAAACCACAACAGACACUACAACAUCAGAAAGCACCACUACAGGUACCACAACUGCUGAGACCACAACAGACACUACUACAACAGAAAGCAUCACCAUAGGUGCCAUAACAACAGAAAGCACCACUACAGGUACUACCACAACAGUCGAGACUACAAUAGACAGUACAACAAUAGAAAUCACCACCACAGGUACCACAACGGCUGAGACCACAACCGAGACCACAACAGACACUAGAACACCAGAAAGUACCACUACAGGUACCACAACACCCGAGACCACAACAGACACUACAACGAUAGAAAGCACCACUACAGGUUCUACAACAGCCGAAACCACAACAGACACUACGACAACAGAAAGCACAACCACAGGUACCACAACAACAGAAAGCACCACAACCGAGACCACAACAGACACUACAACACCAGAAAGCACCACUACAGGUACUACAACACAAAGCACAACAACAGAGACCACUACAGACACCACAACAUCAGAAAGCACCACUACAGGUACCACAACUGCUGAGACCACAACAGACACUACAACGAUAGAAAGCACCACUACAGGUACAACAACAACAGAAAGCAGCACAACCGAGGCCACAACAGACACCACAACACCAGAAAGCACUACUACUGGUAUCACAACAACAGAAAGCACCACAACCGAGACCACAACAGACACUACAACACCAGAAAGCACCACUACAGGUACUACAACAACAGAAAGCACAACAACAGAGACCACAACAGAGACCAUAACAGACACAACAACACCAGAAAGUACCACUACAGGUACCACAAGAACAGAAAGCACCACAACCGAGACCACAACAGACAAUACAACACCAGAAAGCACCACUACAGGUACUACAACAACAGAAAGCACCACAACAGAGACCACUACAGACACUACAACACCAGAAAGCACCACUACUGGUGCCACAACUGUAGAGACUACAACAGAAACUACAACAAUAGAAAGCACCAGCACAGGUACCACAACAACAGAAAGCAGCACAACCGAGGCCACAACAGACACCACAACACCAGAAAGCACUACUACUGGUAUCACAACAACAGAAAGCACCACAACCGAGACCACAACAGACACCACAACACCAGAAAGCACUACUACUGGUAUCACAA